rnacentral:rRNA from 1 species
AUAUCAAUAAGCGGAGGAAAAGAAACUAACAAGGAUUCCCCUAGUAACUGCGAGUGAAGCGGCAACAGCUCAAAUUUGAAAUCUGGCCUCUUUGGGGUCCGAGUUGUAAUUUGCAGAGGGUGCUUUGGCGUUGGCCAUGGCCUAAGUUCCUUGGAACAGGACGUCACGGAGGGUGAGAAUCCCGUACGUGGCCGUGGGCCUCCGCCUUGUAUAGCCCCUUCGACGAGUCGAGUUGUUUGGGAAUGCAGCUCUAAAUGGGAGGUAAAUUUCUUCUAAAGCUAAAUACUGGCCAGAGACCGAUAGCGCACAAGUA